UUAAGCGACUAAGCGUACACGGUGGAUGCCUAGGCAAUCAGAGGCGAUGAAGGACGUGCUAAUCUGCGAAAAGCGUCGGUAAGGUGAUAUGAACCGUUAUAACCGACGAUGUCCGAAUGGGGAAACCCAGUGCAAUUCGUUGCACUAUCGUUUGAUGAAUCCAUAGUCAAACGAGGCGAACCGGGGGAACUGAAACAUCUCAGUACCCCGAGGAAAAGAAAUCAACCGAGAUUCCCCUAGUAGCGGCGAGCGAACGGGGAGCAGCCCAGAGUCUUAAUCAGCAUCAGCAUCAGGAGAACGGUCUGGAAAGGCCGGCAAUAAAGGGUGAUAGCCCCGUAUCCGAAGGUGUUGGUGUUGUGAACUCGAUGAGUAGGGCGGGACACGUGUUAUCCUGUCUGAAUAUGGGGGGACCAUCCUCCAAGGCUAAAUACUCCUGAUUGACCGAUAGUGAACCAGUACCGUGAGGGAAAGGCGAAAAGAACCCCGGCGAGGGGAGUGAAAUAGAACCUGAAACCGUGUACGUACAAGCAGUGGGAGCCUUGAUUUAUCAGGGUGACUGCGUACCUUUUGUAUAAUGGGUCAGCGACUUAUAUUCUGUAGCAAGGUUAACCGAAUAGGGGAGCCGUAGGGAAACCGAGUCUUAACUGGGCGAAUGAGUUGCAGGGUAUAGACCCGAAACCCGGUGAUCUAGCCAUGGGCAGGUUGAAGGUUGGGUAACACUAACUGGAGGACCGAACCGACUAAUGUUGAAAAAUUAGCGGAUGACUUGUGGCUGGGGGUGAAAGGCCAAUCAAACCGGGAGAUAGCUGGUUCUCCCCGAAAGCUAUUUAGGUAGCGCCUCGUGAACUCAUCUUCGGGGGUAGAGCACUGUUUCGGCUAGGGGGUCAUCCCGACUUACCAACCCGAUGCAAACUACGAAUACCGAAGAAUGUUAUCACGGGAGACACACGGCGGGUGCUAACGUUCGUCGUGAAGAGGGAAACAACCCAGACCGCCAGCUAAGGUCCCAAAGUCAUGGUUAAGUGGGAAACGAAGUGGGAAGGCUCAGACAGCCAGGAUGUUGGCUUAGAAGCAGCCAUCAUUUAAAGAAAGCGUAAUAGCUCACUGGUCGAGUCGGCCUGCGCGGAAGAUGUAACGGGGCUAAACCAUGCACCGAAGCUGCGGCAGCGACAUGUAAAUGUUGUUGGGUAGGGGAGCGUUCUGUAAGCCUGUGAAGGUGUGCUGCGAGGCAUGCUGGAGGUAUCAGAAGUGCGAAUGCUGACAUAAGUAACGAUAAUGCGGGUGAAAAACCCGCACGCCGGAAGACCAAGGGUUCCUGUCCAACGUUAAUCGGGGCAGGGUGAGUCGACCCCUAAGGCGAGGCAGAAAUGCGUAGUCGAUGGGAAACAGGUUAAUAUUCCUGUACUGGUGAUAAUUGCGAUGGGGGGACGGAGAAGGCUAGGCUGGCCGGGCGACGGUUGUCCCGGUUUAAGGAUGUAGGUGGGUGAAUUAGGCAAAUCCGGUUCGCUAUACACUGAGGUCUGAUGACGAGUCACUACGGUGGCGAAGUAGCUCAUGCCCCGCUUCCAGGAAAAGCCUCUAAGCUCUAGAUUAUCAUUAAUCGUACCCCAAACCGACACAGGUGGUCAGGUAGAGAAUACUCAGGCGCUUGAGAGAACUCGGGUGAAGGAACUAGGCAAAAUGGUGCCGUAACUUCGGGAGAAGGCACGCUGGCACUAGGUGAAGUGGUUUACCCAUGGAGCUGAAGCCAGUCGCAGAUACCAGCUGGCUGCAACUGUUUAUUAAAAACACAGCACUGUGCAAACACGAAAGUGGACGUAUACGGUGUGACGCCUGCCCGGUGCUGGAAGGUUAAUUGAUGGGGUUAUCCGUAAGGAGAAGCUCUUGAUCGAAGCCCCAGUAAACGGCGGCCGUAACUAUAACGGUCCUAAGGUAGCGAAAUUCCUUGUCGGGUAAGUUCCGACCUGCACGAAUGGCGUAAUGAUGGCCAGGCUGUCUCCACCCGAGACUCAGUGAAAUUGAACUCGCUGUGAAGAUGCAGUGUACCCGCGGCAAGACGGAAAGACCCCGUGAACCUUUACUAUAGCUUGACACUGAACAUUGAGCCUUGAUGUGUAGGAUAGGUGGGAGGCUUUGAAGUGUGGACGCCAGUCUGCAUGGAGCCAACCUUGAAAUACCACCCUUUAAUGUUUGAUGUUCUAACGUAGCCCCAUAAUCUGGGGUGCGGACAGUGUCUGGUGGGUAGUUUGACUGGGGCGGUCUCCUCCCAAAGCGUAACGGAGGAGCACGAAGGUUGGCUAAGCAUGGUCGGACAUCAUGCGGUUAGUGCAAAGGCAUAAGCCAGCUUGACUGCGAGAGUGACGGCUCGAGCAGGUACGAAAGUAGGUCUUAGUGAUCCGGUGGUUCUGAAUGGAAGGGCCAUCGCUCAACGGAUAAAAGGUACUCCGGGGAUAACAGGCUGAUACCGCCCAAGAGUUCAUAUCGACGGCGGUGUUUGGCACCUCGAUGUCGGCUCAUCACAUCCUGGGGCUGAAGUAGGUCCCAAGGGUAUGGCUGUUCGCCAUUUAAAGUGGUACGCGAGCUGGGUUUAGAACGUCGUGAGACAGUUCGGUCCCUAUCUGCCGUGGGCGUUGGAAGAUUGAAAGGGGCUGCUCCUAGUACGAGAGGACCGGAGUGGACGCACCGCUGGUGUUCGGGUUGUCAUGCCAAUGGCACUGCCCGGUAGCUAAGUGCGGAAGAGAUAACCGCUGAAAGCAUCUAAGCGGGAAACUUGCCUUGAGAUGAGUCUUCCCUGACUCUUUAAGGGUCCUAAAGGAACGUUUAAGACGAAGACGUUGAUAGGCUGGGUGUGUAAGCGUAGCGAUACGUUGAGCUAACCAGUACUAAUGAACCGUGAGGCUUAACCUG
rnacentral:rRNA from 1 species